UCAUGAGAUUAAUUGCUGAAGAAAAAAAAUUUUAGGUUUUAUUUGUUUUAGUUUCUUAUUUUCAUUUCUGUGUUUCAUAGAUCAUCGCAGUUAUAGAAGCUUGGUACAUGUANNNNNNNGUUUUUUCUCAUAUAGCACAGAAAAUUAAAGGAACUAAUAGCCUCUAUGGCCUAGUUUUUGCAACAUUUCUAGGAUUGAAGGUAGUCGGCUAAUUCUGAUCGCUUCUUUUUCAUUGUAGUUCUCUUGAAUGCAAUCGAGUGAUCCAAUACGUUUUUUU
rnacentral:misc_RNA from 1 species